rnacentral:tRNA from 2 species
GCGCCUGUAGCUCAGCUGGAUAGAGUGUUUGGCUACGAACCAAAAGGUCGGGGGUUCGAAUCCCUCCAGGCGUA